UCUGCCCUUAGAAGCAUUGCAGGUAUGUCUUCUGUGUCACAUGUCCUUCAGUAGGUGGCAGAGUGGAGAGAGACUAUGUCUAUGCUCAGUGUUCUGACUUAUGAACAUCUGAAUACCUAGUAGCCUAAUAUU